CAGGCGUGGCUAGAGAGACAAAGUUUAAAGAAGGUCCUAUUUUCUACUGUAUACUCUCCUACAUUUGACUUUUUUUUUCUUUUUUAAACCACAGCCACACAUUACUUCUUCAAAUGACCUUGGACCUCAGAGCCUUCACUAUAAGCAAUUAGGUAUCCUGAAAAUGCCCAACAGACAUUCAGGACUACAUUGGUAUCUGUUUAAGGAAAAUCCUCAGCUGCUCACACAGUAAUGAAAGAGACAAGCUAGAAAAUUACUACUUGAUAAGACUCUGCCACAGUCUCUCCAGAGGGGAAGGGAGAAGGGGUGGAUCACAGCACCAUGAAGCAUGCUUAUGAUUUUUCAACCAAACUCCCUUGAACAGCAGUUGUACUCCAAUGUGGUGAAGCUAUUUUAGCAUCUGUCAUUGCCCUGCUCAGCACACCCCACUCCCUUGCCAAAAGCUUAAAAGGUCUCUGGGAUCCUAAGCAUAUUUAACAAAGAUUUAAAAUGCUCAGGCACCAGGUAGCCUCUGGUGGCGAUGUCUGGACAGAGCUGCAGCUGGUGAGCACAGAAGGGGCUUCUUCACAUUGACUCAGAUAAACAACAUGCAAAACAGCAGCUAAGCCUCUGACUCAAAUUGAGGCAUCAAGGCCAAGUCAAGGUAGUAAGACACAGCAAUAUCACAACCCCUCAGCUAAGGGGUCUGAUGCAGAUGCAGGACUUUCGAGUAAGUCUUGACAAAAUGCACAACCUGGCCAAGCGUGGUGGCUCACACUUGGAAUCCCAGCACUUUGGGAGGCGGAGGUGGGUGGAUCACCUAAGGCCAGGAGUUCGAGACCAGCUUGGCCAACAUUGUGAAACCCUGUCUCUACUAAAAAUAACACAAAAAUUAGCCACGUGUGGUGGCGAGUGCCUGUAGUCCCAGCUACUCAGGAGGCUGAAGCAGGAGAAUCACUUGAACCCCAGCCUCUUCUCCACAAGGCAGCAGAGUGAUUGUGUCGGUGUGGCGAUCCCCACAACGGCGUGCAGACCCUACUCCUGGGGCCAUCCGUACCCCUCUGGCCUCCUUCCCAACUCCUCACAGGCUCACUCCCCUGGGGCAGUUUCCUGGGGACCUGUCCGCCCUCUUGCUGAGCUCCUGCAGUUCCCCUUUCUCAGGGCAAUCUCUCCACCACCCUGGCUCCUGCUGCCAACCACUGCUUGUGCUCCUUCCCAGUGCUGAGUAGCUCACAUGCUAAAUGCCCUGUCUCCUCCACAGGACUAUGAGCCUCAGGGCAGGCUCGGCCACCCAUGCAGAGCCCAGGUGAGAAGGAGUAUGAGGUCCAAGGGUCCAGGGAGUGAGACGACCUGCGGUGCACAAGACAUGCUAGGGCAGGGUGGUCGAGGCAGCUCCCUGGGCUUCUCCUUCCCUUUGGUGGCACUGCCCUCUAAAGCUCCACUGAUGGGAUGGUGUGUGCAUGAAGGGCAAAGGAGGCUUGCUAUUCUUUUAACUUAAUAAAGAAAAGUGAAGGUGUGACUCACCAGUCCUAAACCAGGGUGUGUCCACCUUGGCACUAUUGACACUUGGGGCUGAUCAUUAUCUGUCAUGGGAAGGGUGGCUCUCCUGUGCACUGCAGGGAAUCCCUGGAAUACCCUGGCCUUUGCCGACUAGAUACCAGUAGUACUCCCUCACCACAGUUUUGAUAACCCAAAAUAUCCUAAGAUGUUGCUCAAAUGUCCCUGGGGCAGUAGCAAAAUCACCCCAGCUGAGAACCCCUGUCCUAACUCUAAGGGACUGCAGAGAA
rnacentral:lncRNA from 1 species